ensembl:misc_RNA Metazoa_SRP Metazoan signal recognition particle RNA
GCUAGGCAUGGUGGUGCAUGCCUGUAAUCCCAGCUACUCAGGAGGCUGAGGCAGGAGAAUCGCUUGAAUCCAGGAGGCGUAGGUUGCGGUGAGCCAAGAUCGCGCCACUGCACUCCAGCCUGGAUGACAGAGCGAGACUCCGUCUCAA